ACAUUAUUGGCUGGGGUACUAAUUGUGCUUGGAGUCCUCAGGAAACGCUAGGAGCAUCCUUUAAUGGAGAUCCGUUACAGAGCCACUCCAUCACGGAAUGUGAACUUUAGGCAACAUUAUGCAAAUAUGGAAACAAGCACAGACCACCAUACUCACGGGCUCAGCAAGAGACAGCAGCCUACAGGUUAACACAGCCUACUUAAGACCUAAUGUCCUCGGACUCACGCUGG